UGCCCGAUAGCUCAAUGGUAGAGCGGCCGGCUGUUAACCGGUAGGUUGUAAGUUCGAGUCUUACUCGGGCAGCCA
rnacentral:tRNA from 1 species